GUGGGGAAUCUUGCGCAAUGGGCGAAAGCCUGACGCAGCCAUGCCGCGUGAAUGAUGAAGGUCUUAGGAUUGUAAAAUUCUUUCACCGGGGACGAUAAUGACGGUACCCGGAGAAGAAGCCCCGGCUAACUUCGUGCCAGCAGCCGCGGUAAUACGAAGGGGACUAGCGUUGCUCGGAAUUACUGGGCGUAAAGGGCGCGUAGGCGGACAGUUUAGUCAGAGGUGAAAGCCCAGGGCUCAACCUUGGAAUUGCCUUUGAUACUGGCUGUCUUGAGUACGGGAGAGGUGAGUGGAACUCCGAGUGUAGAGGUGAAAUUCGUAGAUAUUCGGAAGAACACCAGUGGCGAAGGCGACUCACUGGCCCGUUACUGACGCUGAGGCGCGAAAGCGUGGGGAGCAAACAGGAUUAGAUACCCGAGUAGUCC
rnacentral:rRNA from 1 species